AUGUCCAAAGCACACAAAGAAGCAGGGACCGGUACCCACAUCAUACAGGGUCCAGCCCCCAGACCCUGGGUGUGUUUUCUAGGUCUCAUCUAAGGAAGUCUGUGAAGUAGACUGUGUAUUUCUAUCGUUUUAUUAACCUCCUGUGGCAUUUCUCUAACUGUAGAAAUAAGCUGUGUUGGCAUCAAAGCAGUUACUCAUUUCUUGCUCUUUUUAUGUAGAAGUUGCUAGGCUGAUC
rnacentral:lncRNA from 1 species